rnacentral:lncRNA from 1 species
CUCGGUCUUUACAUUUUAUACAGUUCCCCAGCUUGCUGGCUGCCUUUACCACUGAAUAAGAGGCAGGCUUCCAUCACACUGCCAUCAGCAGUGCUGGGAUUUCUCCUUUUGUUUCUCUUGUCCACAGGACCCUUAGAAGUCUCCCUUACAGCCCACAUCACACCUCCAGCAGUGGCAAUCUCCUGUGCAUGCGUCAGACAGCCCUCCUACACCUGGGCUGAGAGCAGCACCCCACACGGGCUGACACAAUGCCUGGGAUGUGUGUCAUGAUUCGUGGCACACAGCCUCACCGAUGCAGUGGCAUGACCUGCUGAGCUGUGUGGGACAUUUGCUCUGUGAUGAGAUUUUAGGAAUGGACACUUAGAAGCACACACACAGCAACACUUCCGUGACGUAAAGUCUUAGAAAGCCCAGACAUUUCCCGCAGGAC